rnacentral:rRNA from 1 species
UUAGGAAUCUUCCACAAUGGGCGAAAGCCUGAUGGAGCGACGCCGCGUGAGGGAUGAAGGCCUUAGGGUUGUAAACCUCUAAAAGAGGGACGAUAAUGACGGUACCUCUUGAAUAGCACCGGCUAACUCCGUGCCAGCAGCCGCGGUAAUACGGAGGGUGCAAGCGUUAUCCGGAAUCACUGGGCGUAAAGGGCGCGUAGGCGGUCUGUUAAGUCCGAUGUUAAAUCCCGGGGCUCAACCCCGGAUAAGCGUUGGAUACUGGCAGGCUAGACGGUUGGAGAGGCGAGUGGAAUUACCAGUGUAGCGGUGGAAUGCGUAGAUACUGGUAGGAACACACAUUGCGAAGGCAGCUCGCUGGACAACACGUGACGCUGAGGCGCGAAAGUGUGGGGAGCAAACC